UAAAUUUUAAGUUAUAUAAACUAAGAACCUUCAAAGUUCUCAAAAAGAUAAUUCUUAAAUUUAA
rnacentral:tRNA from 1 species